rnacentral:rRNA from 1 species
GAUCAUUAGUGAAUAUUUAGGGCGUCCAACUUAACUUGGAGCCCGAACUCUCACUUUCUAACCCUGUGCAUCUGUUUCUGGUCAGUAGCUCUCUCGGGAGUGAACGCCAUUCACUUUUCACUCAAAACACAAAGUCUAUGAAUGUAUAAAAUUUAUAACAAAACAAAACUUUCAACAACGGAUCUCUUGGCUCUCGCAUCGAUGAAGAACGCAGCGAAAUGCGAUAAGUAAUGUGAAUUGCAGAAUUCAGUGAAUCAUCGAAUCUUUGAACGCACCUUGCGCUCUCUGGUAUUCCGGAGAGCAUGCCUGUUUGAGUGUCAUGAAAUCUUCAACCCUCUCUUUUCUUAGUGAAUCGAGAGGUGCUUGGAUCCUGAGCGCUGCUGGCUUCGGCCUAGCUCGUUCGUAAUGCAUUAGCAUCCGCAAUCGAACUUCGGAUUGACUUGUGCGUAAUAGACUAUUCGCUGAGGAUUCUGGUCUCGUACCAGAGCCCCCCGGGUUUUGGGUUAAAGGAAGCUUCUAAUCCUAAAAGUCUAACUUUUGAUUAGAUCUCAAAAUCAGUAGGACUACCCGCUGAAAAAACUUAAGCAUAU